rnacentral:rRNA from 1 species
UACGGAGGGUCCAAGCGUUAUCCGGAAUCAUUGGGCGUAAAGCGCGCGUAGGUGGCUUCGUAAGUCCGUUGUGAAAGUCAAAGGCUCAACCUUUGAAAGCCGAUGGAUACUGCGGAGCUAGAGUACGGAAGAGGCGAGUGGAAUUCCUGGUGUAGCGGUGGAAUGCGCAGAUAUCAGGAGGAACACCAAUAGCGAAGGCAGCUCGCUGGGACGUUACUGACACUGAGGCGCGAAAGCGUGGGGAGCGAACAGG